CUUGCACCUUUCAAGCGAGUGGCGAACGGGUGAGUAACACGUGGAUAACCUGCCUCAAGGCUGGGGAUAACAUUUGGAAACAGAUGCUAAUACCGAAUAAAACUUAGUAUCGCAUGAUAUAAAGUUAAAAGGCGCUACGGCGUCACCUAGAGAUGGAUCCGCGGUGCAUUAGUUAGUUGGUGGGGUAAAGGCUUACCAAGACAAUGAUGCAUAGCCGAGUUGAGAGACUGAUCGGCCACAUUGGGACUGAGACACGGCCCAAACUCC
rnacentral:rRNA from 1 species